rnacentral:rRNA from 1 species
GUCAUUGCUAUUGGAGUUCGAUUUANCCAUGCUAGUUGCACGAGUUUANACUCGUGGCGGAAAGCUCAGUAACACGUGAUCAAACUACCCUAUGGAUUCNAAUAACCUCGGGAAACUGAGGCUAAUUCGGAAUAAGGCUCCAUCGCUGGAAUGCNUGGAGCUGGAAACGCUCCGGUGCCAUAGGAUGUGAUUGCGGCCGAUUAGGUANACGGUGGGGUAACGGCCCACCGUGCCGAUAAUCGGUACAGGUUGUGAGANCAAGANCCCGGAGAUGGAUUCUGAGACAAGAAUCCAGGCCCUACGGGGCGCANCAGGCGCNAAAACUUUACACUGCACGACAGUGCGAUAAGGGAACUCCAAGUGCGAGGGCAUAACGUCCUCGCUUUUGUGUAUCGUAAGGUGGUACACGAAUAAGAGCUGGGCAAGACCGGUGCCAGCCGCCGCGGUAAUACCGGCAGCUCAAGUGAUGACCAAUUUUAUUGGGCCUAAAGCGUCCGUAGCCGGCCAGACAGGUCCGUCGGGAAAUCUGCUCGCUCAACGAGCAGGCGUCCGGCGGAAACCCGCUGGCUUGGGGCCGGAAGAUCCAAGGGGUACGUCUGGGGUAGGAGUGAAAUCCUGUAAUCCUAGACGGACCACCGAUCGCGAAAGCACCUUGGAAGGACGGACCCGACGGUGAGGGACGAAAGCUAGGGUCACGAACCGGAUUAGAUACCCGGGUAGUCCUAGCUGUAAACGAUGCUCGCUAGGUGUGGCACAGGCUACGAGCCUGUGCUGUGCCACAGUGAAGACGUAAGCGAGCCGCCUGGGAAGUACGUCCGCAAGGAUGAAACUUAAAGGAAUUGGCGGGGGAGCACUACAACCGGAGGAGCCUGCGGUUUAAUUGGACUCAACGCCGGACAUCUCACCAGCAUCGACAAUAGCUGUGACAGUCAGUGUGAUGAGCUUACUAGAGCUUUUGAGAGGAGGUGCAUGGCCGCCGUCAGCUCGUACCGUGAGGCGUCCUGUUAAGUCAGG